rnacentral:tRNA from 1 species
AACCAAAAAAAGCUUCUAACUUAAACAAAGAACAAUAUGUUUAU